UGGGGAAUAUUGGACAAUGGGCGAAAGCCUGAUCCAGCAAUGCCGCGUGUGUGAAGAAGGCCUUCGGGUUGUAAAGCACUUUCGCGAGGGAAGAAAACUUAUGAUCGAAUAAAUCAUGAGGUUGACGGUACCUUGAUAUGAAGCACCGGCUAACUAUGUGCCAGCAGCCGCGGUAAUACAUAGGGUGCAAGCGUUGUCCGGAAUUAUUGGGCGUAAAGAGCUCGUAGGUGGUUCGAUACGUCGGAUGUGAAAAUCAGGGGCUCAACCCCUGACCUGCAUCCGAUACGGUCGAGCUAGAGUUUGGUAGGGGAGACUGGAAUUCCUGGUGUAGCGGUGGAAUGCGCAGAUAUCAGGAGGAACACCGAUGGCGAAGGCAGGUCUCUGGGCCAAUACUGACACUGAGGAGCGAAAGCGUGGGGAGCGAACAGG
rnacentral:rRNA from 1 species